GACAACGUAGCCCAAUGGCUAGAGCGCAGGGCGAAGCCCUGAUCUGAUGUUGGUUCAAAACCAACCGUUGUCA
rfam:Phytophthora parasitica INRA-310 unplaced genomic scaffold supercont2.14, whole genome shotgun sequence.